CUUGGUCAUUUAGAGGAAGUAAAAGUCGUAACAAGGUUUCCGUAGGUGAACCUGCGGAAGGAUCAUUAUUGAAAUUAUAGGCGAGGGUUGUAGCUGGCCUCUCGGGGCAUGUGCACGCCCGAGCCCUUAAUCCCACACACACCUGUGAACCUAUUGUAAGGGCCCGUAAAAAAGGCCUUUACGUCUUUAUCACCUACCCGAAGUCUCAUAGAAUGUAAACAUAUGUCCUCGCCUUAAAAAAAGCGUUGAUAAAAUUUAUACAACUUUCAACAACGGAUCUCUUGGCUCUCGCAUCGAUGAAGAACGCAGCGAAAUGCGAUAAGUAAUGUGAAUUGCAGAUUUUCAGUGAAUCAUCGAAUCUUUGAACGCACCUUGCGCUCCUUGGUAUUCCGAGGAGCAUGCCUGUUUGAGUGUCAUUAAAUUCUCAAACUCUGAUUGAUUUGUUUCAAUCGAGCUUUGGAUUUGGAGCGUGCCGGCGUCAGUCGGCUCCUCUUGAAUGCAUCAGCGGAAUCCCAUUCAUUUCGGACGUCAGUGUGAUAAUCAUGUUGCGCUGUCUUUACGAUCUUGAAAGCCCGCUCACAAUGGUCUUCGGUCCUCCGCUUAUUGAUAUGCUUACUUCCUCUAAAUGACCAAGA
rnacentral:rRNA from 1 species